rnacentral:rRNA from 1 species
UUCGAAGCAACGCGAAGAACCUUACCAGGGCUUGACAUCCUGUGACCGCUCUAGAGAUAGAGCUUUCCUUCGGGACAGAGAGACAGGUGGUGCAUGGUUGUCGUCAGCUCGUGUCGUGAGAUGUUGGGUUAAGUCCCGCAACGAGCGCAACCCCUGUCGUUAGUUGCCAUCAUUUAGUUGGGCACUCUAGCGAGACUGCCGGUGACAAAUCGGAGGAAGGUGGGGACGACGUCAAAUCAUCAUGCCCCUUAUGUCCUGGGCUACACACGUACUACAAUGGCUACUACAGAGGGCAGCGAAGCCCCAAGGUGGAGCAAAUCCCCAAAGGUAGCCCCAGUUCGGAUUGUGGGCUGCAACUCGCCCACAUGAAGUCGGAAUUGCUAGUAAUGGCAGGUCAGCAUACUGCCGUGAAUACGUUCCCGGGCCUUGUACACACCGCCCGUCACACCAUGAGAGUUUGCAACACCCGAAGUCAGUAGCAUAACCUUUUAGGAGUGCGCUGCCGAAGGUGGGGCAGAUGAUUGGGGUGAAGUCGUAACAAGGUAGCCGUA